CCGCAGAAUGAUUAAAUUAGAAAACCUAAAAUUAAAUCCCUCACCUCAUAUCGCGUUUCCAGAUCGCGUUUUUUCACUCUCCUCUACCUCACUUCACGAUGAACCUCUCUCAGCCUCUCUCUCAGAUCGCGAUUCCUUGACUCCUUCUCAGCGAUGGCGAACUCCAUGGCUUGAAGGUUUGUGAUUUGGAUCUGUUUGUUUUGGUUAUGAAUUAGGGCUCGAAUUUCUCUUGUUUUGGUAAAAUCGAGUGGGUUCCUGGGUUUGGUUUCUUCGAUUUCUUCCACUGUGCACGCUCUGCUUCAGAUCCAAACAAGAUCAGUAAUUUUGAGUAUCUUAUGCAACUCAAUACACUGGCUGGGCCUAGUUAUAAUGAUAUAACGCAGUAUCCUGUUUUUCCCUAGAUUCUUUCUGAUUACAGUUCAGAGAGUUUGGAUCUUUCAAAUCCUUCUUCUUAUCGAGAUCUUUCAAAGCCUGUUGGUGCACUGAACCCAGAUCGUCUGAAAAAAUUUCAUGAGAGAUAUGCUAGCUUUGAUGAUCCAGUUAUCCCCAAAUUCCAUUAUGGAUCACACUACUCAAGUGCAGGAACAGAAUUAGGGCUCAAAUUUCUCCAGUUUUGGCAAAAUUGAGUGGUUUCCUGGGUUUGGUUUCUUUGAUUUCUUCAACUGCGCACGCUCUGCUUCGGAUCCAAACAAGGCAAUAAAGGGACUGAGUGCUCUUAGAGGAUUAGUGAAGCUGCAAGCACUGAUGGCUAUUCAAAGUGUGGUUUCAGCAAGAGAAAGCAGAUUAAGCACGAAGGGUCGUCAAGGGGGUGACUAUACUCCUAUCAGGUUUUCAAUAUAGUUUUUCCUAGUUCAGUUGAUGUGAUACUGAUAAAUACAUUUUUAUAUAAUUUCAAGUGAGUACAUGUAUGUCCCUAAUCCUCUAUUUCAUUGUUGUCUAGUUAAUGAUCUAUUAAUAGUAAAGGAGGUUCUGUGGCAGUGGACUUGGUCAAGUUAUUUGGUCAUAAAUCUAGUGUAAUUUGGUGAUGACCAUUCUCUCUGCUCUUGUUGGCUGGGCUGCUCCGAAUCUGGUGAGAAUUCUAUGUUGCUGGUUUGGAUUCACAAUUCUCAUAAUUAUUUGUUUAUUCUUAGAUCCUUAAGAGAUCCUGUUCUGUGCUAUAUAUAUUGAGAUAAGAUAUUUUCCUGGUAGAUCUAUUUUUCAAGCAAAUGUUAAUUGUAUUGGGUUGGGGUGAUUUUUGUGUAGAACUGUGAUGUUAGUAUGUUCACCACUUGCCUUCUGUAGUUAUUCUUUAUAGCUUACACCGACUUUAUUUAGAAUUCAAUGUAUGUAUGGUUUCUUGGUGAUAAAGUUAUGGCUCAAACUCGAGUUUGGUUUUGUAGCGUGGUGAUUGUGCAGUAUUAGGACGUGUUAUGUGACAUCAAUGAAUGUGUUUUUGGUAGACAGGAAGUUUGUAGGAUCAUAUGGAUGCGAAAGAGAUGAAAAAAAAAAUUAGCAUUUCGUGGCGGUUAGAACCGCUGAAGAAUAGAGGCGAAAUGAAGUACACGCAUUGCGGCGGUUUCAAACCGCCGCUCAUUCCUGCGGCGGUUAUUCCAACGCUUGGCUAUAAGCGCCGCAGAACACCUCCCGACGCUCGUAACUGCGGCGCUCUAGCAAACGCCUCAACAUACAUUUUGCGGCGGUUUUAACCGCCGCAAAUUUCUCCUAGAACCGCCGCAAAAUACUGAAUUUUUUGUAGUGCUCUAUGUAUAACAACUUAUUUG